UGGCCGAUGGUGUAACUGGCAACACGUUUGGUUUUGGUCCAAAAGAGUCCAGGUUCGAGCCCUGGUCGGCCAGCUA
rnacentral:tRNA from 1 species